AUUGCCCUAGUAACGGCGAGUGAAGCGGCAACAGCUCAAAUUUGAAAUCUGGCCCUCGUGGUCCGAAUUGUAAUUUGUAGAGGAUGCUUUUGGUGCGGUGCCUUCUGAGUACCCUGGAACGGGUCGCCAGAGAGGGUGAGAGCCCCGUACGGUUGGACACCUACCCUAUAUAUAGCUCCUUCGACGAGUCGAGUAGUUUGGGAAUGCUGCUCUAAAUGGGAGGUAAAUUUCUUCUAAAGCUAAAUACCGGCCAGAGACCGAUAGCGCACAAGUAGAGUGAUCGAAAGAUGAAAAGCACUUUGAAAAGAGGGUUAAAUAGCACGUGAAAUUGUUGAAAGGGAAGCGUUUGCGACCAGACCUUCUCCUGGCGGAUCAUCCGGUGUUUUCACCGGUGCACUUUGCCAGGUCUAGGCCAGCAUCGGUUUCUUUAGGGGGAUAAAGGCGUUGGGAACGUAGCUCUUUCGGGAGUGUUAUAGCCCUUCACGUAAUACCCUUCGAGGGACCGAGGACCGCGCUCUGCAAGGAUGCUGGCGUAAUGGUCGUCAACGACCCGUCUUGAAACACGGACCAAGGAGUCGAACAUUUGUGCGAGUGUUUGGGUAUUAAACCCUCACGCGUAAUGAAAGUGAACGGAGGUGAGAGCCCUUACGGGUGCAUCAUCGACCGAUCCUGAUGUCUUCGGAUGGAUUUGAGUAAGAGCAUAACUGUUCGGACCCGAAAGAUGGUGAACUAUGCGUGGAUAGGGUGAAGCCAGAGGAAACUCUGGUGGAGGCUCGCAGCGGUUCUGACGUGCAAAUCGAUCGUCAAAUCUGCGCAUGGGGGCGAAAGACUUAUCGAACCAUCUAGUAGCUGGUUACCGCCGAAGUUUCCCUCAGGAUAGCAGUGUUGUAUUCAGUUUUAUGAGGUAAAGCGAAUGAUUAGGGACUCGGGGGCGCUUUAUUGCCUUCAUCCAUUCUCAAACUUUAAAUAUGUAAGAAGCCCUUGUUACUUAAUUGAACGUGGGCAUUCGAAUGUAUCAACACUAGUGGGCCAUUUUUGGUAAGCAGAACUGGCGAUGCGGGAUGAACCGAACGCGGGGUUAAGGUGCCAGAGUGGACGCUCAUCAGACACCACAAAAGGUGUUAGUACAUCUUGACAGCAGGUAUGUCUACCUACCCUAUACCCCUCCUACCCUGUAGGACCUUACCCUGUAGCAAUCAUACUAACCCUUUUUCUCUAGGACGGUGGCCAUGGAAGUCGGAAUCCGCUAAGGACUGUGUAACAACUCACCUGCCGAAUGUACUAGCCCUGAAAAUGGAUGGCGCUCAAGCGUCUCACCCAUACCUCGCCCUUAGGGUAGAAACGAUGCCCUAAGGAGUAGGCGGCCGUGGAGGU
rnacentral:rRNA from 1 species